GCUUCCCCGGUGAGAUUGGGGGGCCCACCUGUCAGUGAAAUUCUACGAAGAACUCGUCGUCGUCCUCCUCCCACUCUUCCGUCCCGUCUCGUAUUUAAACCGCUUCAUCCAGCCCACCUCCAUUUCUCCUCCCCCACGCCUAAAACCCUAGUUCGUCCUCGCCCUGCCUUCAUCGCCCACAGCUGUUAAUGUAUGCCAGCCAAACACGGCUGCCUAACUUUCCUUCUGGAACAACUCUGCUCUGCUGAAUCUGCACUGGUUUUAACUGAUAUUACCUGCAACAGUCCGACAAUUAUGGCUUCAACCUUUGGCCUGGCCAUUAUGCGGUCUUGCUGAGUCAGUGCUGCUAAGGAAUUGCAUCUCAACAAGGAUGCCUUGGCUAUCAAGAAGCUGCAAACUGGUGUCGACAAGCUUGCAGGCGCCCUGUUGGAGUCACUCUUGAACCAAAAAGGCAAGCAGCUGCUAAGACCAACGUUUUGUCUGGGGAUGGGACGGCCACAUCUUUCGUCCUUGCUCAAGGGGUGAUUUCUCAGGGUUUCAAGGUGGUUCAGUGCUUGCUGCUGGAGCCAAUCCAGUACAGACAACUUAAUGGUAUUGAAAAAAUAGUGUAAUAUCUAGUCAGUGAACUGAAAAAUGACAAAGGAGGCAUAUUCUGGCCGAGAUCUUGUAUUCUUGUUGUGUCCAGUAUAUACAUUCUGCUAAUUUAAGGAAUGUUUGGCAUGCCUAUCAUUUGGCUCCUGUUUUCGGAGGGUGCAAGAAUCAAUAUCUGGAUGAUAUCACCAUUCUAACUGGAUAUAAUCUUCAAGUUAUAUAUAAUGCGAAGAGUGCACUGGUGAUAAUUUGCUAACCAUUAAGUUCAUUACUUGUACAGCCACUGUCAUCAAGAAGAAGUCAGGUUAUCUCUGGAAAAAGAGAACAAACAGCUCGCAAGUCGCAAUGGUUGUACUUACGAAAGAUACAACAACAAUAGUUGGUUAUGGUAGCACACAGGAAGAAGUGAAUAGAAGGGAUGCACAAAUCACAAGCAUGUUGUGGUCUAAUAAUAGGUUAGAGCAGAUGGAAACUGAGCUCAAAGAAAAUAAACUGAGGGUUGAAGAUCCUCUGAAUGCAACAAAGGCGGCUGUUGAGGAAGGGAUUGUUAUUUGUGGUGGCUGUACUCUUUUGAGGCUGGCAUCUAAAGCUGAUCCCAUCAUAGAAUCUCUUGAUAAUGAUGAGCAGAAAGUAGGAGAACGGAUUCAUCAUGUUUAUGCUCGUCAAAGCUAUUUUACCAGUUCAUAUUUAUCUUUAGGUGGAAAUUAUGUUUGUAGCCAUCAAUGGUGACAUAUUGCAAAAAUUUUGUUGGUCAACUAAGAACUAACAAAUCAUAUUGUCCCCUUGUAGGUUGGGACUGAAAUUGUAAGGAAAGCCCUGAACUGUCCGCUUAAAUCGAUUGCCAAAAAAAUGCUAUUAAUUUGUCGUUCAGAAGGGUUCUUGCCAGUGACAACUUGAGGUAUGGAUAUAAUGCUGGAAAGUACGAGGACUUGAUUGCUUAUGGAAUUAUUGACCCCCACUAAGGUUUCCUCACUUCUGACGUUCUGGUAGUUCACGCCGAGGAGCCUGAACGCGCGCCAGCAACCCAAUGGCCAACUCUGGUCAUGGAUUAUUACUGAGCAGAAGUGUUCUGGUUUUCUUUUCAACUAUGGGCAAUGAGGGACGAGGGCAAAUUCUACUCCCACUCAGGUAGGCAUGUCGCUUCUGGUGGCAAUACGUAUGUUUCAUGAAUGUACACACGCUUAAACUUAUUUUCAGUAGUAUAUAAUGCACGUUUAUUCUUAGUCAAAUAUGCUUCACAUUGUUCAUCUAGUGGCCAAGAACUUAGCCAAAAUUGCGUAGUACGGAAACAAGAUUGAGCAAAGGUCUCGUUGGAUUCUUGCAGUUCAUUUGAUUAUUUAGGACCCAGAAAUUUAGUAGUAGUAUGGCAUUGGAUGCCCCUGUCUCUGCGUGACAGGUGGUUCCUGCAGGGGCUGCAAAUUUUGCCAGUGCCAGCAGUUUGGCGGUACGUGGUAUGUACCGUAGCAGCAUGGCAAAUCCAGUAGGGGCCCCCUGUCUGGCCUCUCAGCCUUGACCUUUUACUAGAGCCCGGGGCAAAUUCCAAACCCUUCACAGAGCUCUCUCGAGCAGUUGAGCUUAGUCAUAGACACAAAGAAAAUCCCGUUUGCUCCAAGCCCUUGAGAUAGUGAGAUGACAGCAUACGGUGGCCGUUUGUGUUCUCCAUCUGUGCUAAAUCGUACUACCUACCUCAUUACUAGAAGUGUACAAGUAUAGCCCAUGAGUGUGAGUGACUCUGUCUAGACUAGUUUAACCUGUAUAAUGCAUUGUUAAGUGCAACGCCUAGUGGCUACGACGACCACUAACUAGUUGGGCCCUUACGGCACAGUUGAGAAACUUGAAAGCAUCCGCGCAUCUUAUCAUAGGAGGGGGAGGGGAGAGCCCAACGGCCAGCCAUUAAUAUUCCCUCCCUCCUCGAUGCCCUGCAUGGAAAGCUGUGUACUCUCUCUCUCUGCCUCACUGGCAGUGCUCUGGCGCCUACCUGCACCGGACACCAGGCCCCGUGUGCGUUGUGGUGUCCGUGUGUGAGUUACACCGGUGGUGCAGCUGAUCCUCUCGACCCGGCCCUCUGUUUCCAGAGCCAGCCUCUCGUAAAAUAUUUGCAUGUCUGACUGGUAGUACCAUGCUGGAGGACGCUGCUCAUAUGAUAAUGCUGCGGCCCUUCGCUUAAGAAGAUGCCCGUAUUAGGCAACCUACGCGACCGGGACUAAAGAAACAAAAGUUAAGGAGCCAAAGCAAGAGGGAGGAAAAGUGUAAAGGUUGGGGGAUAUCUCUUGUGGAUUAGCAAAUGUAUUCAUAUUCUUUUGGUCUUUUCUCUUUACCUUUCCCCUUUGAUCCUUUGCCCGCUUUUCGUUUUUCAGCAACAUUUUCCCUUGCUUAAUUAGUAAAUAGAGAAAUUUAAUUUCUAUAGCACGAAGAUAGGGGCUGGAAUGAAUGAAUGUGACAGCCAUUCAAAGUUGAUAGACGUCCUUUCAUGUCAGUAGUACAGUCAAUCAUCUCCCGGCCGGUUCCUCCUUUUUCCUGUUAAGGAGGACUCGUAGUGCGUCCAUCCAUUCGUCUACCUGCAGUGCAGAUGAUCCCCGAACCAAUGUGGGAGUGCAAUCUUUAUGACAUUACCUUUCUUAACAGCAAAUGCCGUCACAAAAAGCAAUGCCAUUUUCACAUUUAGCGCCUCCCUUCCCUCCCAAUACUUGACACUUGGGAAAUCGAAAUCUUAAAAUGUUAUCUCCGUAAGUAGAAAUAUUUCUUUUGAGCUUGGUCUUUAAUUUAGAUUUUAAUUAAGAUUUUCUCAUAAAAUAUAUUAUUUAUAACUACAAAACAUGCAAUGUGAAAUUAUUUUAAAUUACGAACCUAGUUAUAUAAUUUUUAUACAUUAGAUAUUCUUAUAAUUUGAUUAAAUAUUAGUUAAAGUAUACAAAUUUUGAUUUUUCUAAAAACAAAUACGUCUAUUAUUUAUGAAUGAAGGGAGUAUAACAUACUCAAUCAUGGGUACCUUGGAAGGAUAGGAAGCCCGAAGCCAUACAACUACUACGAGCCUGUUUAGUUCACGUCUAAGUUUGUCACAUUCAAGAUUAAUUAAGUUAUAGAUUUUUAGAUGACUGUUUGGUUAAUUGUCAUAAUUGUGGCAAGUUAUACUUUCCUAGUCCCUAGCCCACACGACAUACAUUUAGUUUUUUUACUUGGCCAUACUUGUGGUUAAAAAUUUAUUAGUCACACUUCUUGUGGCAGCCACAUUUGUCUAACUUCAAGCCUGUUUGGUUCAUUAACAUAGAUUAUCAUAUUUUUGGUAAAGUUUGGCAAUAAAAAUAGUCUAUGACAGAUGAGCUCAAAGGUUGAAAAACUAUAACACACCAAAAUUGUGGCAGCAAAUCAAAUAGUUGCUAGAAAAAGUCUGGUAAAGUGUGACAGCAAACCAAACAGAUUCUUAGACGUGACAAACUUAGACGCGAACCAAACAUGACUGGAAUGUUGCAAUGCUCCAACUUUAGCACUAAACAGCUCCAAUUCACAGCUAUUGCACCUGACACAUCAUUGCUAGUGCACUCUACAAAGUGCUUGGCCGUAUAUCUCAGUACAAAUCAAAGUAUAGUAACAAUCUGGCUAUUGUAAGGAUAUACAAGAUGCUAAGAAAAAUCCCUCGGCCAUCUUUUGUGCAGAGACACCCUGGGCAUUGUACGUUUGAACUGCUUGCGCCGAUACAACGUCUCUUGCCAGCUGUGGCCGUUGGAAAGGGACAAAUAAGACCGGACCAUUCAUUCCCUCUUUGUAGUCGUAUCUCCUUCCAGUAUUGUCCGCUCUACUGGUGUCUCUACGGAAUUACACGUAUCCUCGGGGCGUAGUCCAACUCAUGCAUCGGUGCAAAAAACCAACCGCUGAGAUCCGGUGCAUCAGCGAGGAGAUAUUGGUGAUUUUAGAAUGUUUCACAGGUAGCUCGAUUGGUAGGAGGCAUGCGUACACCCUCAUUAUAUAGGUUCGAGAGUUCUUGGAUUUGAAUUUGGGUGUCUGUUUUCUUCUUAGUACAUCAAUCUCUAGUUCGGUACUAGGUAGUUCGCGUGUUUUCUUCUCCACACAAAUUGCUGGUUCGGUUGGUUCCUGCGGGACACUGAUACAUGCCGCAUGAGCUAGCAGUCAUCAUUGCAACCAACAUGUAAAAUGCAAUGCUCGUCCAACCGAAAAUGUCGAGCUUGGAAGUGACCCUGAACUGCACACGCACAAGAGAAGUCCUGCAGAGAAAGUUCUGCGAUAUUCUCUUCUCUAGCGAGCAAACCUAAGCACAGGAAGAAGACUCCCACAUGGACAUUACCUGCUCGCUAGCUGCCAGGUAGUAGUAACCUGUCUGAACCAAUUAGCUACAAGGAAAUUUUUUUUAAUAUGGCUACUGGGUACGAGUGUUCACUCAUGCAUGCAGAGGACAGCUGCAGCGAGGAUUGUUGCGAUGCAGGAAGGUGAGUUGUUUUUACAUUUGGUUUCUUUAAACAAAACAAACAAUCAAUAUGGUGCUUUGGGGUCCUGGGGAACAGCAAAAACAGCUGUAUUUGUUGCAUAUGAUUAGCAAUGCAAAAGUGAGAGAGAGAGAGAGAGAGAGAGAGGCCUUCUGUGCAAAUAAUGAUAGUUCCGGGCGCCAAAGGUGAGACGAGAGAGGUUUUCCAAUCCAGCUUCCAAGUCAAAAGGGUCGCCCGGGAAAGAAAGCGAGCUAGGGCUGGCUGGCAGGGCUGCAGCGGCAUGCCCGCAUCAUUGCGCAAUCGAACCCCCUCCUCUUUUCUGCUCUUGUUGGAAUCCAAGACGGUUUCUCUGUAAAGGGGAGAGGAGAGGAGCACACCAAAGUUCUUGGACCCCCUCAGCAACAAUAAGCAUGCAGAAACAGAGCUUAUAAUUCUCCUAACAGUCACUGAUUGGUUGUUUUUGCUAUGAACAUCAUUUUACAGUUGUCUGUUUCCAUUGAGCAGUUGACUUUGUGAGUUGCUUGCACCAUUCUAUUGAUUCGCAUAUGUACAGCAGUAUUGCACUUGUAUAUAGCACCGGUGUGCUGCCUGUUGGUUGAGCUACUAGUGUAUACAAGUAUGCCGGUUUGCUUAAGCUACCAACUUUGUUUAAACUACUACUGGUUUAUUUGCCUAUUGGUUGAGCUGGCUUGGGGUCCUUCAGGAAUCAUGAGGUAAGAGUGGCUUACUGCGGGACAAAAAGAGGUAGUAAGUGGAAUUAACACAAAUGUAAGUGAGACAUGCUUUUCCCCAGCUAAGUUGAUCCUCUUGCACUGUGUGAAAAAUGAAAACUGAGCUGACGAGUUGUAUUUUGGGGUAGGGUGGUCCUUUGUCUCUACAGUGUACAGGGAUAGUGGCUUCUUGCUUCAACCGGGCAGCAAAAUAAAACUCCAAGAGCUUAGCUUGAGCUACCAUGUGAGCAGGCUUCUUGCAGCUGCCUGUACACACAUGGUAGGACCUGAACUGGGGCAAGGUUAAAUUCAGACUCGAUUCACUUUAUGGUUCACUGUUGCCAGUUCCGUAGAGUUGUUCACAUGGAAAUCCAUAUGGCACCGUGGUACAUGAGUGCUUGUUAACAUCUUGUAAUUUUGGAUCAAUGUCACACGAAUCGUAACCUGAUCUCCACUAGUGUUGUAACGUGCAUAUUAUAACGGUUGCAUGUUGUUCACGCUAACGGCUCUUGGGUGACCAUGGCCUGUGUCACAUCUUGAUGAUCGCAC